rnacentral:rRNA from 1 species
CAGCCGCCACGGUAAUACGUAGGUGGCAAGCGUUGUCCGGAAUUACUGGGCGUAAAGCGCACGUAGGCGGUUAUUCAAGUCAGAGGUGAAAGCCCGGGGCUCAACCCCGGAACUGCCUUUGAAACUAGAUGACUGGAAUCUUGGAGAGGUCAGUGGAAUUCCGAGUGUAGAGGUGAAAUUCGUAGAUAUUCGGAAGAACACCAGUGGCGAAGGCGACUGACUGGACAAGUAUUGACGCUGAGGUGCGAAAGCGUGGGGAGCAAACAGGAUUAGAUACCCCCGUAGUCCCUGUCUCUUAUAC